rnacentral:misc_RNA from 1 species
CCUAGCCGCCAGCCACUCUUCUUCGUGGCGUCUUCCUCCUCACGCCAGCAUCCCUCCUCUGUUUCUGGACACAGCAGGGAGCAGCCGCUCACCUCCACUGCUCCCUCCGGUGUUGUUCAUCAGGCAGGCUUCCCUACCUUCCUCCCUCUCCCGGCCCCUUCUAGCGCCUCCCUCAAGUCCGGCCAUGGUGGCUGCCAGUUCAACAUCGCUGCUCCUCUCAGACGCCGGAGCUCUAGGGCCGUGCCUUCUCCAUGGCCGGCCAGCAACGUCGAUGGCCGAGCUCCCCUACGCUUCCCUCUCCCAUGGCGUGGUUGUCCCCAUGGAGAAGCUCAAGCCCUCACCAGCUCAGCCCCCGUCGAACUCCACUGUUGUGCCUUCUGGUCUCCAGGUCGACGCCCUCUGCUCUUUCUCCCCCACGCCGUCCAGCUCCAGGCCGAGAUCCAUUUCGCCCUGUUCCUGCUUGCCCAGAGUUUCUUUGCCCUAAGUCAUCUUCUUCCCCUGCUCGGCCCUCCCUAUGCAGCGCCCCCACAAUGCUCCACGGCGCUCGACCUCAACCACCAAUGCCGGGCCCGACCAUCGCCCUUGGCCAGGCCGACAAAGCCCUAUUACCCUCGACCCCGCCAUGGCUGGGUGCAGCGGCCGAGCUCCCUCCCCUUUGGCUGGAUCCUCAUCGGCCAUUUCCCUCAGGCUGCACGCUAUGGCCUCCCCGUGGUCAGGGUCUGCAGCAGGAAGUCGUGUGCUACCUAUUUGAUGAUAUGCGCAGCAACCACACUUCGCAGCUCCUUGCAACAGCAAGCAAUGCCUGUAACAUGCCUUCGACGCGUGUUUUGUGUCUAGAGAAAUGCCUGGGUGACGCUCUAUGCCACAUGGAGAGCAGCGUCAAAUCAGCGCAGCUCUCGACGUAUCAUCACCUCCGUGUUUGGACAAUGCCCCCCACACGCCAUGUGGUCGGCUGGUCGCCAUCUCUCGCACCAUCCAUCAUGGCGCGUCGUCACCAUGACCCUUUUCCACACGAUGCCUCACUCUUCACCCAAUGACAAAAUGCACUCAUAAUUAUGUGUGUGGGUAUGAAAGUGUGUGGAUCGGAGAUUUCAUGAGAGAAGAAUGUAUGUGAAAAAGGUGGCAUGGAUGCGUAGAAAAUUGGAGAACAGUCGAGUCAUGUUGUUUGAUAUUAUGUGCGGGAUUAGAAAUGCCGGUUUAGGCAAAGGUGGUAUAUAUUGUUGGACGUAUGGGUGCCAAAGUACACUAUAGUGUUUUUGUUAUGACGACGUGAGUGUCUUGAGUGCAUGCCACAACAUGGUUGUAUACGAGAC